AUUUAAAAUAUAAACUUGAUAUUCAGUCUAAGGAAACUGCGGAGCGACAGAAAAACCAACAAUAUCUCCUGUUUUCUCCUUUAAUGAGUCGACUCUUCUUGUGCUUUCAGACCAAAGAACUACAGACUCUUCACAACCUGCUCAAACUCUUGGUACAGGACCUCACCACACGGGUCAAGAAGGUUUCCGUCUCAUUUCUACUCUGAAGCUCACCUUCUCCUGCUCAAACUGCUGACAAAUGUUUCUGCUGCUCUAAAGUCUGCUCUCCAGAACUUCCUAAAAACUCUCAAAGUCUCUUCUGCUGCAGGUUGCUUUGUAGAACUGUUCCAGAAAACCUCACUAAACCACAUGGAGGAGCCUCAAGAUAGUCGUCCAAAUGAAACUGUACAAAAACCAAACUAGCACAACCCAAAUGCUAAAGUCUCCUGCAGCCUACCAGAGAACCUCUGAGAACAGAGAAUCAGGACAGGAACUCUUACCUUCUGGACAACCAACGUGGGUUGACAAACAAGAAUACAGAAUGUGUCUGACCAAAAACCUCUAAAGACUCACUACAGCCAAGGUAAAGACACAACGCAGCUGCACCAAAUCCACUAAUCACUGCACACAUUAGCACCAUGUGCUAACUGUGGCUAAAGAACCACAUUUACCAAGACAGCUUAUCCGGUACAAAGCCCUAAAACACACCAAGAAACACAUUAAAGACGAUUUUACUGCUGGAAGCUGCAAGCCAACGCCUAAAGAACAAAUUAAAGCAACGGAGCCAAACCCGAUUCAGUGGCGAAGAGAAGCAGAGGAAAUGUUUGAUGCUGCCAAAUAAAGCAGGAAGACACUGAGCUGCUCAGGUGUUCCUGAUAACACCGAGCUGCUCAGGUGUUCCUGAUAAUACCAAGCAGCCACUUGGGCAGCCAAUAGGAACACAGCUUACUGGAAGUCCAGAGGGCUGGGUUAGUGAAGGAAAUUUAGUUUAAAGUUGAAGCAGAAAGUUAACAAAGAAAGUUGAAAACCACCUUCUGAUACCUGAAAUGUCGGAGUUUUCACACAAAGAACACCUGAACAUGUCAAACUGGUUCCAUAGUAGAACCCUCAUUGUAAAAACGUCAUAGUAUGGUGUGUUGCUCAAAAAACGUUACGACGCGGCUGUCUAGGGUUGCCGAGGAGCAACACAAAAACAGGACAGCAUUACUUCUCAAUACAAAAUAGUGUAAAGGCAGACCAGUGCUACCUUGGACAUGAGCGAAAACACUCUGUGUUAAUGACAAGACUAAGACUUGGACACUGUGGACUGGCAUGGGAUUUAGCUAAAAUCGGCAAACAUAAGGACGGAUUAUGUGGAGCCUGCGGCAAACUGAAACGUCUGCUCAUGGAGUGCAGCCUGUUUGAGGAACAAAGAACACCGUUAUAUGCCAAGAUGUCACAUGAGGGAAUGGAAUCAAUCACAAUGAGGAGUCUCCUUAAUCCCAGAGAGAACCAGGCAAGGACGGUGAACGCAGUCCUUCACUUUAUCAACUCCACAGGAUUACAUCUUUGGAAGUAGGAAUGAUCUGAAUUCUGCAUUCUCUCCCUGACCUGCGAGAGGCAGCAAUGUGCCGCAAGGCAUCCACCCUGCCGGAAAUUCAUAAGAAGAAGAAGAAGACGAAGUGAAUCCCGUUAUUGAAGUCGGAACAAACAUACGCCGGAACCAUGUUUACGACACACAGGGGAUGAGGGGAAUCUUGAGGCUGCGACACACAGGGAUGUAAACAUUCAAAGCUGCCGCGGAUUGUAAACUCUUCCGUUAUUUCAGUAUUUUAUGUCUGUAAACACAAAACACUAGCGUAUCGAACAUAAUGCACUUCUAACGGCUUUCCUGAAUUUCCGGUUACACGUCACUGACACUUCGUUUAAAAUGUUCAGCAGACAGGCGCUUUGCUUUGGAGUGUGACGAUGUGACGAGUGAAAGUAGCAGUUCCUCCUGAAGGUCAGAGAUCGCAGCAUCUGAGGGCCUCUUCAAAAGAAGACGUAGUUGAUGAAGGCGUUCUGGAGCAGGACCAGAAAGACCACGACCAAGCAGCCUUGAGAUCUUAGGCAGCGUCUCCCUCAGGUCCCUCUCUAUCUCCCCACACAUCCACCAACCACUGGAACACAUCUCCAAAGUUCUGCUGGGCCAGCUCAGCUUCCCCUCAGAAGAAGUGCUGCCACCUGCCAGAUGAAGGAGCCUUUUGAGAGGCAGCUGGCAUCGUGAUUGGACUGUACUUUGGUCUGUUCCAAUCCAGCUUCAGCCCCAGAGACGGCAGGCGGGACGAGUCAACGGAGGCCGGGUGGACGAAGGCAUGCAGCUGAGUACAAUCCAGAAAACAACAGAGGAGGAGUGCAGGGCCAGAAGAGAGUAGCAUCGUAUGUCUCUUAGAAAACAUCAUAGUAUAGCCUUUGGUAUGAAAAAACACAAUCAUAUACAUCGUAGAUUGUACAAAUAACAAGUCAAAGCAAAGAGACAUACAUUGUAGAAUUGUAGUAAUUGUGGGCUGAUUGAUUUACUGAUUAUCAGUAUUUUAUUUUUACUGAUUUACGGUAAUAAAUACAUUUAAAAAUGGUGCUA